GUCUCUGUGGCGCAAUCGGUUAGCGCGCUCGGCUGUUAACCGAGAGGUUGGUGGUUCGAGCCCACCCAGGGACG
rfam:Tetraodon nigroviridis chromosome 2 SCAF14705, whole genome shotgun sequence.